rnacentral:rRNA from 1 species
CUACGGGAGGCAGCAGUGAGGAAUAUUGCACAAUGGGGGGAACCCUGAUGCAGCAACGCCGCGUGGAGGAUGACGCAUUUCGGUGUGUAAACUCCUUUUAUAUGUCAAGAAAAUGACGGUAGCAUAUGAAUAAGCACCGGCUAACUCCGUGCCAGCAGCCGCGGUAAUACGGAGGGUGCAAGCGUUACUCGGAAUCACUGGGCGUAAAGGACGCGUAGGCGGGUUGGAAAGUCAGGCGUGAAAUCCUACAGCUUAACUGUAGAACUGCACUUGAAACUUCUAAUCUAGAGUAUGGGAGGGGAAGAUGGAAUUAGUGGUGUAGGGGUAAAAUCCGUAGAUAUCACUAGGAAUACCUAAAGCGAAGGCGAUCUCCUGGAACAUUACUGACGCUAAGGCGUGAAAGCGUGGGGAGCAAACAGGAUUAGAUACCCCUGUAGUC